rnacentral:rRNA from 1 species
GACGAACGCUGGCGGCGUGCUUAACACAUGCAAGUCGAACGGAAAGGCUCCAGCUUGCUGGAGUACUCGAGUGGCGAACGGGUGAGUAACACGUGGGUAAUCUGCCCUGCACUCUGGGAUAAGCCUGGGAAACUGGGUCUAAUACUGGAUAUGACCUUUCUCCUUAUGGGGUUUGGUGGAAAGUUUUUCGGUGUAGGAUGAGCCCGCGGCCUAUCAGCUUGUUGGUGGGGUGAUGGCCUACCAAGGCGACGACGGGUAGCCGGCCUGAGAGGGUGAUCGGCCACAAUGGGACUGGGAUACGGCCCAGACUCCUACGGGAGGCAGCAGUGGGGAAUAUUGCACAAUGGGCGGAAGCCUGAUGCAGCGACGCCGCGUGAGGGAUGACGGCCUUCGGGUUGUAAACCUCUUUCAGCAGGGACGAAGCGUAAGUGACGGUACCUGCAGAAGAAGCACCGGCUAACUAUGUG